rnacentral:rRNA from 2 species
GACUGGGGUGAAGUCGUAACAAGGUAACCGUAGGGGAACCUGCGGUUGGAUCACCUCCUUACCUUAAAGAAGC